CUCCGGCCUUGCUCAGCAGCCUGUGCCACUCACCUGUACCUCCUGAUCUUCAUAAUAAAAGGGAAAAGUCUUUUCAGAACGUGUGUGGCAAGGAGCUCUCUCCACCUGACCACUGUGCCUUUGCUCUGCCCAUGAGACAUGGCUCAAGUUGAUGUUACCUCCUGCACAGAAAGAAAAGAGGAAAGCAUUGCUCUGAGAACUCACCAAAGGCCUAUGUUUCUUCUUCAUGCCCCAGGUGCAGCCUGUCCGCUGAGACUGUACAAGGAGUGGGCAAGAGCCUCCAUGGGUCACCUUUUAUUAAGAGACAGAGCCUACUGAGAAACAGAUGAAAACACAGUUGAUAUUGGGAACACAAUCCAGUAUGUUCUUAAGAAGGCAGUGAAAAGACAAGGUUUGUUGCAUGGCGUUUUGACUGAACAUGGCACAGUACAUCCUGGCCUGGGAAUGAAGAGCUGCCAGUUUUCCCCAGCAGGUUAACCAGCAUGGAGACUCCAUACGCUGAAAUCACCACUGAGCAGCAUGACCCCAGGGACUGGAUCAAUGUCAUGUGGUGAUAGCUGCAAACAUUUCAAAUAUUUAGCAUGUACGCGUAUAUUAGCUCUUCUUAAUUGUUUUCCUUUAAAAAGUCUGCAGAAAAGGGAUUCAGUGGAACUGUUUAUGUUUUAAAGUGUUGCAGGUAUUUGGGAAACUUCUUUCUAAAGACUUUAUGUUUCUGCAAAUUAAAAGGAUCGGUAUAAACUUCAUUUUGAGAGGAGAAAGUUUGUCACGGAUUAAGAACAUCUAUAAACUUUUUUUUUUUUUAAUAUGGCUUAAUCAGCAUCACUUUUCUCACUCCUAACCUGCAUUAAUAUUGUGUCUGAGAGCCUCAGUUCAGGAACAUUUAUACAGGAAAGAGGAUCUUCCAUUAUGAAUUAUAGCAGCUGAAGCUUUGGACUGUGUAUUUAUUCAUUCCUUAUCGAAUCUGGCUUCCCAGCUCAGCUGAGCAUGGGCUUCAGUUUCAGUCUCUACUUGAGCCACAUUUUGGAGCUAAACUGUGAUUUCUGAAAAUGUUGUUCAUUCACUUCCUUUACCUCUCCAUAACUAUUGGUAAUAUGAUGCAGAUCUCACACAUCCAUUUCUCUCUCAAAUAAAUCAGUCAUCUAGCCUAACAUCAACAGAUUGAUGCUUCAUAUCAUGUCUUUCAAACCAUUACAGAAAAUGUUCAUGUCUCCAUCAUGUCUGUUAGUCUUAGACAUGAAAAAUAAUGUGGGACUGAUUUUUUUUAAGGCUGCACCAGUAAAAACUCACACAAUUAAUUGUUACAUUAAUUCAUGUAUUUCUACACCUAGGCAAGCCUUUUCUCUGGAAAGGCUUCAAGUCCCACAAAAGGACCUCAAGAUUUUGUUGUCUGUAAAUUAUCUCAAAUAUUUGGUCAGUAGGCUUGAUCAAUAAAUAACUUUU